CACGAACGCUGGCGGCAGGCUUAACACAUGCAAGCCGAGCGCCCCGCAAGGGGAGCGGCAGACGGGUGAGUAACGCGUGGGAAUCUACCCAUCUCUACGGAAUAACGCAUGGAAACGUGUGCUAAUACCGUAUACGUCCUUCGGGAGAAAGAUUUAUCGGAGAUGGAUGAGCCCGCGUUUGAUUAGCUAGUUGGUGGGGUAAAGGCCUACCAAGGCGACGAUCCAUAGCUGGUCUGAGAGGAUGAUCAGCCACACUGGGACUGAGACACGGCCCAGACUCCUACGGGAGGCAGCAGUGGGGAAUAUGGGGCAAUGGGCGCAAGCCUGAUCCAGCCAUGCCGCGUGAGUGAUGAAGGCCCUAGGGUUGUAAAGCUCUUUCACCGGUGAAGAUAAUGACGGUAACCGGAGAAGAAGCCCCGGCUAACUUCGUGCCAGCCGCCGCGUAAGAC
rnacentral:rRNA from 1 species